rnacentral:sRNA from 1 species
GCUGGGUGCAGUGGCAUACACCUGUAAUCUCAGCAGUUUGGGAGGCUGAGGCAGGAGGAUCACAAGUUUGAAGUUAGCCUAAGCAAGUUAGCAAGGCCCUAAACAACUUAGUGAGACCCUGUCUCUA